UACGGAGGGUGCGAGCGUUGUCCGGAAUCACUGGGCGUAAAGGGCGCGUAGGCGGCAGGCCAAGCGUGCGGUGAAAGUCCGGGGCUCAACCCCGGAUCUGCCGUGCGGACUGGUUUGCUGGAGCACUGUAGAGGCGAGUGGAAUUCCGGGUGUAGCGGUGGAAUGCGUAGAGAUCCGGAAGAACACCGGUGGCGAAGGCGGCUCGCUGGGCAGUGGCUGACGCUGAGGUGCGAAAGCGUGGGGAGCAAACAGG
rnacentral:rRNA from 1 species